UGGGGAAUAUUGCACAAUGGGCGCAAGCCUGAUGCAGCCAUGCCGCGUGUAUGAAGAAGGCCUUCGGGUUGUAAAGUACUUUCAGUCGGGAGGAAGGUGGUAAGGUUAAUAACCUCAUCAAUUGACGUUACCGACAGAAGAAGCACCGGCUAACUCCGUGCCAGCAGCCGCGGUAAUACGGAGGGUGCAAGCGUUAAUCGGAAUUACUGGGCGUAAAGCGCACGCAGGCGGUUGAUUGAGUCAGAUGUGAAAUCCCCGGGCUUAACCCGGGAAUUGCAUCUGAUACUGGUCAGCUAGAGUCUUGUAGAGGGGGGUAGAAUUCCAUGUGUAGCGGUGAAAUGCGUAGAGAUGUGGAGGAAUACCGGUGGCGAAGGCGGCCCCCUGGACAAAGACUGACGCUCAGGUGCGAAAGCGUGGGGAGCAAACAGG
rnacentral:rRNA from 1 species